GGCGGGAUGCCCGAGCGGCCAAAGGGAGCGGUCUGUAAAAUCGCCGGCGUAUGCCUUCACAGGUUCGAAUCCUGUUCCCGCCA
rnacentral:tRNA from 1 species